UGAAAGAUAGUGCAAUUGAUGUUUAAGUUAUCCAAAUGAAUAUGUAAUUACUGUAUAGAGUCUUAAACUCGAUUAUUACCCGAUAAAGUUAUCGGUAGACCGACAUGGUUCAGAAAUUGAUCUGGACAUAGAUAAUUUAAUUAGUUAAAGGUUUAUUUGUGAUUCAAUGGUUGUUAAGGUUAUAUGAUAAUGUAAUUAAGAAUGUGUUAAUGAUUGUUUGUGAGUCAAUGACUGUUGAACAUGUGUGAUAAGGUGAUUAGAUUAUGUGCUGACUGCAAUAGGCAGUGUUAUGUGUUACGUUAUGAUAUACUAAUCAGUAAAAUGAUUUGAUUAAUG
rnacentral:lncRNA from 1 species